UACGGGGGGGGCAAGCGUUGUUCGGAAUUACUGGGCGUAAAGGGCUCGUAGGCGGCCAACUAAGUCGGACGUGAAAUCCCCAGGCUUAACCUGGGAACUGCAUCCGAUACUGGAUGGCUUGAAUCCGGGAGAGGGAUGCAGAAUUCCAGGUGUAGCGGUGAAAUGCGUAGAUAUCUGGAGGAAUACCGGUGGCGAAGGCGGCAUCCUGGACCGGCAUUGACGCUGAUGAGCGAAAGCUAGGGGAGCAAACGGG
rnacentral:rRNA from 1 species